GCUCCUGUGGCCUAAUGGAUAAGGCGUUGGCCUCCGGAGCCAAAGAUGGUAGGUUCGAGUCCUACCAGGAGCA
rnacentral:tRNA from 1 species